CCCUUAGAUGUUCUGGGCUGCACGCGCGCUACACUGAAGCGUUCAACGAGUAUUUCACCUUGCCCGGGAGGGUUGGGUAAUCUUUUUAAAACGCUUCGUGAUGGGGAUAGAUUAUUGAAAUUAUUAAUCUUGAACGAGGAAUUCCUAGUAAACGCAGAUCAUCAAUCUGCAUUGAUUACGUCCCUGCCCUUUGUACACACCGCCCGUCGCACCUACCGAUUGGAUGGUCCGGUGAAGCCUCGGGAUUGUGGUUCUUGCCGCUUUAUUGUGGCGUGACCGCGAGAACUUGUCUAAACCUUAUCAUCUAGAGGAAGGUGAAGUCGUAACA
rnacentral:rRNA from 1 species